GAACGGCAGCAUGAGGUGUAGCAAUACACCUUGAUGGCGAGUGGCGGACGGGUGAGGAAUGCAUCGGAAUCUGCCCAGUCGUGGGGGACAACGCAGGGAAACUUGCGCUAAUACCGCAUACGACCUUCGGGUGAAAGCAGGGGAUCUUCGGACCUUGCGCGAUUGGAUGAGCCGAUGCCGGAUUAGCUAGUUGGCGGGGUAAUGGCCCACCAAGGCGACGAUCCGUAGCUGGUCUGAGAGGAUGAUCAGCCACACUGGGACUGAGACACGGCCCAGACUCCUACGGGAGGCAGCAGUGGGGAAUAUUGGACAAUGGGGGCAACCCUGAUCCAGCAAUGCCGCGUGUGUGAAGAAGGCCUUCGGGUUGUAAAGCACUUUUAUACGGGAACGAACACCAUUGUACGGUUAAUACCCGGCNAAGACUGACGGUACCCGAGGAAUAAGCACCGGCUAACUCCGUGCCAGCAGCCGCGGUAAU
rnacentral:rRNA from 1 species